AGAGUUUGAUCCUGGCUCAGGAUGAACGCUGGCGGCAUGCCUAAUACAUGCAAGUCGAACGAAGUUUUGAGGAAGCUUGCUUCCAAAGAGACUUAGUGGCGAACGGGUGAGUAACACGUAGGUAACCUGCCCAUGUGUCCGGGAUAACUGCUGGAAACGGUAGCUAAAACCGGAUAGGUAUACAGAGCGCAUGCUCAGUAUAUUAAAGCGCCCUUCAAGGCGUGAACAUGGAUGGACCUGCGGCGCAUUAGCUAGUUGGUGAGGUAACGGCCCACCAAGGCGAUGAUGCGUAGCCGGCCUGAGAGGGUAAACGGCCACAUUGGGACUGAGACACGGCCCAAACUCCUACGGGAGGCAGCAGUAGGGAAUUUUCGUCAAUGGGGGAAACCCUGAACGAGCAAUGCCGCGUGAGUGAAGAAGGUCUUCGGAUCGUAAAGCUCUGUUGUAAGUGAAGAACGGCUCAUAGAGGAAAUGCUAUGGGAGUGACGGUAGCUUACCAGAAAGCCACGGCUAACUACGUGCCAGCAGCCGCGGUAAUACGUAGGUGGCAAGCGUUAUCCGGAAUCAUUGGGCGUAAAGGGUGCGUAGGUGGCGUACUAAGUCUGUAGUAAAAGGCAAUGGCUCAACCAUUGUAAGCUAUGGAAACUGGUAUGCUGGAGUGCAGAAGAGGGCGAUGGAAUUCCAUGUGUAGCGGUAAAAUGCGUAGAUAUAUGGAGGAACACCAGUGGCGAAGGCGGUCGCCUGGUCUGUAACUGACACUGAGGCACGAAAGCGUGGGGAGCAAAUAGGAUUAGAUACCCUAGUAGUCCACGCCGUAAACGAUGAGAACUAAGUGUUGGAGGAAUUCAGUGCUGCAGUUAACGCAAUAAGUUCUCCGCCUGGGGAGUAUGCACGCAAGUGUGAAACUCAAAGGAAUUGACGGGGGCCCGCACAAGCGGUGGAGUAUGUGGUUUAAUUCGAAGCAACGCGAAGAACCUUACCAGGGCUUGACAUCCCACUAACGAGGCAGAGAUGCGUUAGGUGCCCUUCGGGGAAAGUGGAGACAGGUGGUGCAUGGUUGUCGUCAGCUCGUGUCGUGAGAUGUUGGGUUAAGUCCCGCAACGAGCGCAACCCUUGUCGCAUGUUACCAGCAUCAAGUUGGGGACUCAUGCGAGACUGCCGGUGACAAACCGGAGGAAGGUGGGGAUGACGUCAAAUCAUCAUGCCCCUUAUGGCCUGGGCUACACACGUACUACAAUGGCGACCACAAAGAGCAGCGACACAGUGAUGUGAAGCGAAUCUCAUAAAGGUCGUCUCAGUUCGGAUUGAAGUCUGCAACUCGACUUCAUGAAGUCGGAAUCGCUAGUAAUCGCAGAUCAGCAUGCUGCGGUGAAUACGUUCUCGGGCCUUGUACACACCGCCCGUCAAACCAUGGGAGUCAGUAAUACCCGAAGCCGGUGGCAUAACCGUAAGGAGUGAGCCGUCGAAGGUAGGACCGAUGACUGGGGUUAAGUCGUAACAAGGUAUCCCUACGGGAACGUGGGGAUG
rnacentral:rRNA from 1 species